UACGUAGGGUCCGAGCGUUGUCCGGAAUUACUGGGCGUAAAGAGCUCGUAGGUGGUUUGUCACGUUGUUCGUGAAAACCCACAGCUUAACUGUGGGCGUGCGGGCGAUACGGGCAGACUAGAGUACUGCAGGGGAGACUGGAAUUCCUGGUGUAGCGGUGGAAUGCGCAGAUAUCAGGAGGAACACCGGUGGCGAAGGCGGGUCUCUGGGCAGUAACUGACGCUGAGGAGCGAAAGCGUGGGUAGCGAACAGG
rnacentral:rRNA from 1 species